GAUAAAAAUCUUCAUGUACAUUUCUGUUUUGAAGGUAUUCAUCACUUCCUGUUGCUAUUCAGUGGGGAGUAGACAAUGAGGACAGGGCAAGGGCCCAGUAUAUAGAACUGAAGCAAUGUAUGCAUGAUGAUUUCAAAGUUGAGACAGCCGGGUUAACUUUAAUUAACAUCUACUCUUUUCCUGGAGCAACUAGUGAUGGCAUGGUGAUUAAAGGAGAUACUGUUAGUCACCUAGAGAUUAAAUGUCCAUUUUUUCUUAAGGGAGUGAGGGUCAACACAUUGGAAAUUGACAUGAUUCUAGGAAUGAAUGACCCUAGUUUUUGAUGGCCCAACAUUGAACCCGUUUCACAAAUACUAUGCACAAGUCCAAGGUGAAAUGGCAAUUAAAGAACUUCCCUCGUGUGACAUUGUUCUGUGAACAGCAGAAAAAGAAACAAACA
rnacentral:lncRNA from 1 species